GGUACAAUGCUCUCUUCGGAAUUUCAAAUCACUACCCAUGCUAGUGUCAGGGACUGUGUGGGCAGUGGAGCUCUCUCAUGGUUCUGAUUACAGCAGCCCAGAGCGGGGAAGUGGAACACUGAAGUUCUCUCGCUUACCCUUUCCCCGUAAUAGUGAAUCCCUCAAGGCUCUCAGACUGUCGUGGGGUCUUGCUCUGUCACCGGGACUGGAGUGCAGUGGCGUGAUUACAGCUCACUGCAGACUCAACCACGUGGGCCCAAAUGAUCUUCCUGCCUCAGCCUCCUGAGUAGCUGGGAACACAGAUAUCUACAAAGCAUUCCUAUCAUUAGAUUCUAAUCCAGAACCACAUGAUUCACCUUGUAUGGCUGUUUCUGUGGAUGUUUGUUAAAUAAGAAUAUUGAGAGCCAAGGAAUUCUAUCAAGCAAAGAUGUUCUACUCAGGUUUAUGAACAGUUUUCCCCCUGUAUGGCUGUACUGUUUAUUCCACUGAGCCUGGCUGCAUCCUUCUGCUUUGAUUUAUAGGGAAGGCAGAAGUCAACACCUAAAAGAUGUGACUUUUAAAACAGUUGCCUAUAAUUUCAACUCGACUUUCUAUUACCAAAACACAUACUGCUGUGAAUCCUUAUUAUCAAGCGGCAAUUGAACAUCACAAAAUGGCCAGCAGAUAAAUAGGAGCCUAACAGAAUAUACUAUCUAAAACAUAAAGUGAUGGUGAAAAGAAUUUGCAUGCUUCUCUAUGGUCAGCACUGUCGUAUACAAGUUGUAAAGAGCCCUCAAGAAUAUAUUAAAGGGAAUGUAAAUAAAUCACAGUGUUUCUAGUGUGACGUAAUUAAUCUGUGCAACAGAGCCUGGGAUAGUCUUUAUUUCUCCCUUUCUGUUGAAGUCCAGUUUCUCAAUUUAUGGCUUCUGCUCCAGAUCAUUGUCCUGAUAUCCACUACCUGAAAAACCAAGCCUAAAUGUUUCACGAGUUGAUUCCAGGACCUGCAUAGACAUGGAUCUCUUCUUCAAUGUGUCCUCUACAGGGUGGGCUCUGCUGCAAUUACGUUGAUCUCUAAGCCUAGGAGUAGAAGACUGGGGACAAAGAAUGGUUCUUGUCACACACUGUGGACACAGCUUAAAUAGGCUGUUGUGUCCAUGCUCAUGUGCAAAACUCUUGUCAUGAAAGAAAAGGAAGGCACAAGAUAGCCAACAAGACAUAGCCAGGAAAAGCCUCUUGCACCAAAUGAGACAAUAAUAUCAAGUAAAUGAACAUAUAUCCAACUCAUCUUUUGAAAAAAAAAUUGAGAGUUGAUAGAGAAGUGACACUGACAAUGAGGCUGAAGAGGGGGAACCUAAGAGCCCUGCAAGGGGUUGUUGUGUGCACCACGACUCAUUCUUGGCCCUGAAUGACUCCUAAGGAAGUGCCUGCAGCUUUCAACUCCUCAUGGGAGGGAGCAUGCAAGUGAACGAGGUGGGAACUGGAAUGCAUGAACUCUGGAAACAACCACCCACUUCGGAGCUGACAGGAGCAAACUUCAAUCACUCAGACUUCCUGCGCUUCAUCCCUCAUGAGAGGGAGCACACAGUGUCCCCACCUGUCCCACGCAGAUCCUACAUUACAGCUGCAGCCUCAUGGCUACCUCUUAAUUAACUGCUUCUGUGACUAAUAUUCAGAAAAACAAUCAGUUGUCAGCAGACCUGCAUGAUAAGCCAUACCAGAAAAGCCCUUACGACUGGAAGAGAAUUAUUCCAAGUGAAAAUUCAGAUUUACAGGAAGAAGAAAGGCAAAAAUAAUAAAUACGUGUGUAUAUGUAAAAACUA